AACCAUUGCAAAGAUUGGACACAUCCUGAUCAGCUCAAUGGCUAUAAUGUUGCUUUCUGGUUUUGUGAUCGUUAAUUCUGAAUGAAAUUCUGAAGAAAAUUUAGACAUUGCACCUCUGCAACAAGUGGACCAGCCCUGCUUGGCUGAAUGACGAAUUUUGCUUCCUCUACUGAAUGAAUGUGGCGACUGAAUUGGCAAUUAAAGUUUUCUAUUUCAAAUAAAUAUUCUUUGCAAUUUAAUAUCGUUUUGGA